rnacentral:tRNA from 1 species
AGCCCUAAGGUGUAUUCAUAUUAGAUUGCAAAUCUAAAGAAGGAGGCGAAGAGCCUCCUGGGGCUU